UACGGGGGGAGCAAACGUUGUUCGGAAUCACUGGGCGUAAAGGGCGUGUAGGCGGCUGGAUAAGUGGGAUGUUAAAUCCCCCGGCUCAACUGAGGAACUGCACGGGAAACUGCCUGGCUUGAGUUCGGGAGAGGGAAGCGGAAUUCCGGGUGUAGCGGUGAAAUGCGUAGAUAUCCGGAGGAACACCGGUGGCGAAGGCGGCUUCCUGGACCAACACUGACGCUGAGUGAGCGAAAGCCAGGGGAGCAAACGGG
rnacentral:rRNA from 1 species